UCAAACUUGGUCAUUUAGAGGAAGUAAAAGUCGUAACAAGGUCUCCGUUGGUGAACCAGCGGAGGGAUCAUUACCGAGUUCUAACAAACUCCCAAACCCCUGUGAACAUACCUUUUGUUGCUUCGGCGGGAUCGCCCCGGGCGCCUCUCUCGAGGUGCCCCGGAACCAGGCGCCCGCCGGGGACACUAAACUCUUGAUUGUUAUAGUGGCAUUCUCUGAGUGAAUUAUACAAAUAAAUCAAAACUUUCAACAACGGAUCUCUUGGCUCUGGCAUCGAUGAAGAACGCAGC
rnacentral:misc_RNA from 1 species